CAGCCGUAAACUAUGCGCGUUAGGUGUAUCGGUGACCACGAGUCACCGAGGUGCCGAAGGGAAACCGUGAAACGUGCCGCCUGGGAAGUACGGUCGCAAGGCUGAAACUUAAAGGAAUUGGCGGGGGAGGCACCACAACGGGUGGAGCCUGCGGUUUAAUUGGACUCAACGCCGGGAAGCUCACCGGAUAAGACAGCGGAAUGAUUGCCGGGCUGAAGACUCUGCAUGACUAGCUGAGAGGUGGUGCAUGGCGUCAGUGACU
rnacentral:rRNA from 1 species